CCUACGGGUGGCUGCAGUGGGGAAUAUUGGACAAUGGGCGAAAGCCUGAUCCAGCCAUGCCGCGUGUGUGAAGAAGGCCUUCGGGUUGUAAAGCACUUUCAGUGGGGAAGAAAGCCUUGGGGCUAAUACCCUCGAGGAAGGACAUCACCCACAGAAGAAGCACCGGCUAACUCCGUGCCAGCAGCCGCGGUAAUACGGAGGGUGCGGGCGUUAAUCGGAAUUACUGGGCGUAAAGCGCGCGUAGGCGGUCUGAUAAGCCGGUUGUGAAAGCCCCGGGCUCAACCUGGGAACGGCAUCCGGAACUGUCAGGCUAGAGUGCAGGAGAGGAAGGUAGAAUUCCCGGUGUAGCGGUGAAAUGCGUAGAGAUCGGGAGGAAUACCAGUGGCGAAGGCGGCCUUCUGGACUGACACUGACGCUGAGGUGCGAAAGCGUGGGUAGCAAACAGGAUUAGAUACCCCUGUAGUC
rnacentral:rRNA from 1 species